GCCGGAGUGGCGGAAUGGCAGACGCUGGGGACUUAAAAUCCCUUGGGAGUAAUCCCGUGUGGGUUCGACCCCCACCUCCGGCACCA
rnacentral:tRNA from 1 species